GCCCGCCCCGGGGCUCCGCGCUCCCCCGGCUCCGCCUCGCGCACUUCCCGGGAGCGGCUUCCCGGGGCCCACUGGGCUCAGCGGGUUGUUUUGUUUUGUUUUGUUUUGUUUUUCCCACUCGGUGUUUGGCGCUUUUCCCCGCCUUCCUCACCCGGAUUCAACCCUCGAGGCUGGAUCCCGGGGGGCGUCAGGAGGGCCGGCGGCGGGUGGGCGCGGAGUGCGGGGUCGCCGCCACUGCGCGCGCCGCGCCUCGGGGGGAACUAGAAUGCGUUCGGGAGCUGCCUGCCGGGCCCCGGGCACCCCCAGUGCCUGGCACUCCGCGGGCGCUCAAUAAAUAUUUGUUGAAUGAAUGAGCAGUUGACUACCGCGUUCACCCCCUGGAGCUUUAACUGACACCGAGAGGACCGGAAGCCGGGCUCCAGGGCGGACGCGACCUCCCGGGGCCACCGUUGAUAGCUUUCAAAGCGGGCGUGUUUGUCUCCGGGACUUAAUCACCUUUAGGACUUCCUCAGUGAUUCCUCCACGUGGACCCCUAGGAGCUGAAGCAUUUGCAUUAUAGAAUGGGGACUUCGCAAAGUCUGCAGGUGGCUUCUCAUGAUCUGAUGACCUUCUGUGGACCAGAGAACCACGUACCAGUGACAGACCCCAGGGAAGGGCUCCAGCUCCAUGGAGGACAGCCAGGGUCAUCGCCAUGCCAACCACCGGGAAUAGAAGGUGCCGAUUUGACAUUUCCCAGCCCCGAUGAAUCUAUGGAUUUGGAAAUAACCGGGUCCUCUCCAUAUAUACUGUGAUGUUAUCUCCCCCAAUGAAGGAAGUGGGAAACAGGAAAGGCCUAGAUUCCCUGCAGAUAGCUCUUAUGGUUUACAAUGAGAAUUCCAAUACUACGAAAAGCACUAGGCAGAAUUUAAAACACAAAUCAUUGGUGUUUAACGUGAUAUAUUGCGGAGAAAUUUCUGGCACUGGAAGUCUUUCUUUAAGCAACACUUCCACACAGCGCCAACUAAAUAAUGGAACAACAUCUGGACGCCUUCUAAAUCGAGUAUGAAAGUAUGUAUUUCUCCCAUGACACAGAUGAGACCAAAAGGCAACAUUUCCUAAAAUAAAAAAAUGGAGGGCAAAUUAAGCAGUGGCUAA